AUUAGUCGACUCGGUGGGGUUGUCUAACAUACUGUUGUACAAGCCAGGGUCACUCAGUCAAAAAGUAUGUUGACAACAUACCAAAUAGUGUGUUGCAACUUGCUAUGGAGUUGUCUCACCUUAUUUUCCCGUUUUGAUGCAGCAAAUCUAACAACUAGAUGCAGCACUACCGUCAUGUAUGUGAUCCAUAGAGGAUUCUAUUUUUCCUCGGAUUCGAAUGACAUUCUAUGCUUUGCCUAGUUGAGACUUCCUAUAAAAGAGUGUAAACUAUUAGAGUUCUGCAUCGUACUGAAUUUCUGUCACAAGUUCGUUCCGAGAAGUCAGGUGAGUUCUGGUUUUUAUGAUUUUUACCAAAUGGACAUAUAUAUCUAUCCUAUCUAGUAUUGGUAUGGCUUAGCUUAAUUUAACUUUGGUUUUCUAAGAUUGCGUUUUAGCCUUGUGAGAAUGACUGCUCACUACUUAAUUUAGCACUGUAUAGCAGAGAUUUAACAAAUUAGUUGUCAUUUUUAUCUUUGUAUAUCUAAUGGCUGAUUUUGAAUGUAGUAUUGGUAGUGUUUGUUUUAAUGAAAACUUGCUAUGCAUGCAUAUAUAGAUAGGUUUGACUAUAUGAACUUGAUACGGUUAUUGGGUGCAUUUUGCUGCUUCUUAGAGGAAAUGUAGAUGAAAAUACUGCCUUGCCCAGCAGUACAUCAAUAUGAAAACCCUACCAAAAUUUGCAAUUUGUUGAGUUUUUCACUGACAUAAUCAGGUGUCUCCGUGCGCUGAUUUAGGAUCAUCUUGUGGGGCUUUAAGGCUGGCUGUGUAGGUAAUGUCAUUUCAAUAAAAGAGAAUGGUUUUUUCUUUAAGAAUGUGAUUUGAGUGGAUUAGUGUCGAACACAUGAGAUUUAUAAUUCUAGAAUUCUUGGAGGAGGUUGAACAAUAUUGUUCUUCUCAUAAAGCUGGUGAAUGGUCAAUAUUUUGUACCUUUUAAGCUAGCUAUUUAUGUAGCGUUCUUAUUUUGUGAGUCAACAAUUUUCUAUAUUUCUUGUUUUAUAAUACAUUGGAAACACUUUGAACAAGCUUUAUACCAUCCAUUCACAUAUUUGACAAUUUGUUGAUACUCUUUUGAUUAUUUUCUUGAUUGACUUGUUUGACACCUAAUUUACAGGAUUGGGAGUUUGAAAGGUCAUUCAGGGUUUGAGGCUGGUAAGGGGGGUCAUUUCAUCUAGUCCAUCCUUGCCACCGGCUUCCUUAUCAGAUGAAUCUGCCACUUGCUAUGUACGAGUUAGUAAAAUUAAUUUCUCUGUCUGCCUUGAUGUUCCACUAUGCUACAGACCCAAGAUGCUUGCAAGAAUUCCUGGUGUUUCUAGAGGGCAGUCUUCUAGUGCCGUGCUUAUGGCAGGGGUGAAGAGGCCCUUAAUAAGGAAGAGCUUAAACCAUCAGACCAUAACGUGCCGCCACUUUACGGUGAGUAUGGCUUUCACCUUAAAGUGGCUGCACGUUCUGACUGCUUAUGGCAGGUUUUCAACGAGUUCAACAUAGAGAGAUGGUGAAGGGAGAAGCGAGUCUUUGGCUAAGGAUGUAUUUACUGGUCACAGUGGCAAACAGAAGAUCCUUGCUUGGGAGCUACACAAGGACCUCACAAAUAAAGGUGUGUCCUGUUUCUUUGAUGAGGAUCCUCUAAGCUUGCCAAUAGCUGAAAAAUUCCCUCCCCGCAUUUUUGAAGCCGCUGAGAAAUGCAGAGUAGCGGUAUUGGUUCUCUCAAAGGAUUUCAGCCACUCAAAGUGGCCAAUGCUGGAACUUUCCGCUUUCCUCAAAGCUAAAAUUUCUGGCAAAAAUCCAAACAUGAAGAUACUACCCUUGUUCUUCAUGAUAUCACCAAAGUCCCUUUCUGAAAUUACAGAGGACAACCAAGUAUGGAAAGACUUGGGGAUAGUUGAUGAGACUCGAGCUGAAUGGCAUAGGGCUUUAAGAGAAAUAAGGUCAAUUAAGGGUUUGGAGUUCAAAGAAGCUGAGGAUAUGGUGCAUUUCCGAGAUGAAGUUGUAAAAGCCAUCUGCUCCCUACUACUUUCACACUCACCUGAUUCUAUUCAAGGGCAGACACGUCAAGACCAGGUGUUGGAUGGGUUAGCAGACAUCCCAACAACACUUCUUCAGCCUCAUCUUCAACAAAUGUUACGGACAUUGUUCUACAGCAACAUUGUAUUUUCUAUGGACCUGUUAAAUCUUCAAUGUAGAUCACCCAUCAGCAUGCUGUGAUGCCCAAACACUGAACUACAGGCCCUUUUCCACUGAAAGUGAAGACUGUUCUUACAAGAGAGUUAUGGGUCUUGAAAUUGUGAUACAUUUAUUUGCCUCCAAGCAAUUCGCUGUUCAGUUCUGGUUUUCUUCUCAACUCUUAUCUGCUGCUCAUAUCUGCAUCAACCAAAAAACAUGAUUUGCAGCUACGCCAAAACUUGCAGGUAUCAAUGAACUUCCAAAUCAGCAUCUUAACCUAGAUCUAGAAUGACGAUUACUCCAUAAGAUCAACUGUCAGAGAUGCGGCAGUUAAUCUAAAGAAAAGAGAGCUGCAUGCAGAAGUCUCAGCUAAACGAUCUUCUGUUCUACAGUAAUAUGGAUUCGCCUAAUGAAAUAAUUAGAUUCCAACCACGAAAGCAAUGCUCCAGAUUUUCAUCCUGUGUAUCUGCCUGAUGAGGAUGCCUCAAUAGGAACGAUGCCAAUUCAAGUGUCUUGACUAAGCAUUUCACCCUACAAUGGACUUAUCUUCACACUACUACAAGCGCUUCAGUGCUUGAUUCUUUAUUUUAUUUAUAAGCCAGUAUUUUUUUCAAUAAAUUUCAUUUGUUUGCCAUUUUUUAACAUUCUCUAAGCAGAAUUUUUAUAUGAUUCUUGCCAGCAGUUUAAAUGCCUUGUUUAUUCUAAAACAUUCUCUAAGCUUUAAACAGUCAAGGCUGGAUUUAAACAGAAGUGGAACAAGAAAUAUGUUAAAAUAAUUAAAACCUUAUUGAUCUGAAUUGAAAGCUGAAAUGCAUCUUGUGACCUGGAUUUCUGUCCUUUUGAAAUGCUAUUACAUGGCAGUCACAUUCUAUGCUGUCUAAUAUCCAGUAUUUGCAUAAACCUUUUGACAGUGGAUUUUUAUGUGGUCAUCAUGGCAUGCUAAGGCUUUACUUCACCAUCCAAUUUCCCAUGUAUAUGGAUUUAGUGGUAGGAACCUAUUGUGUCUGAACUUAUUAUGAUAUGGUUGCCUUCAGAAUAGUUGAAUUGGCAGAGCAAGCCUUGUAAAUUAAAUCUA